CUGAGAUGAACAAGUAGAUGAGUCAUGUAUUAUGUGUAUCAUUGUUGUAUUUCUCAAGACUAUCUGUAUGAACCACCAUUGUAUUUCCUUAUUCUGUGAACCUUUGCUUAUUGUUGUGUGAAACAUUGAUGUAUUCGAAUAAUGAACCUAUUCUAUUUGAACCUGUUAUGUUUUGUUGCUUGUUGCAUGUCUACUAUUUGUUCAAUGUACAAUAUGGUUGUUGCAUGUAUGCUAUUUGUCCAAUGUUCUAUAUGGUUGUUGCAUGUGUACUGGUU
rnacentral:lncRNA from 1 species